rnacentral:rRNA from 1 species
CAGCAGUGGGGAAUAUUGCACAAUGGGGGAAACCCUGAUGCAGCGACGCCGCGUGGAGGAAGAAGGUCUUCGGAUUGUAAACUCCUGUUGUUGAGGAAGAUAAUGACGGUACUCAACAAGGAAGUGACGGCUAACUACGUGCCAGCAGCCGCGGUAAAACGUAGGUCACAAGCGUUGUCCGGAAUUACUGGGUGUAAAGGGAGCGCAGGCGGGAAGACAAGUUGGAAGUGAAAUCCAUGGGCUCAACCCAUGAACUGCUUUCAAAACUGUUUUUCUUGAGUAGUGCAGAGGUAGGCGGAAUUCCCGGUGUAGCGGUGGAAUGCGUAGAUAUCGGGAGGAACACCAGUGGCGAAGGCGGCCUACUGGGCACCAACUGACGCUGAGGCUCGAAAGUGUGGGUAGCAAACAGGAUUAGAUACCCUGGUAGUCCACACCGUAAACGAUGAUUACUAGGUGUUGGAGGAUUGACCCCUUCAGUGCCGCAGUUAACACAAUAAGUAAUCCACCUGGGGAGUACGACCGCAAGGUUGAAACUCAAAGGAAUUGACGGGGGCCCGCACAAGCAGUGGAGUAUGUGGUUUAAUUCGACGCAACGCGAAGAACCUUACCAAGUCUUGACAUCCUGCGACGCACAUAGAAAUAUGUGUUUCCUUCGGGACGCAGAGACAGGUGGUGCAUGGUUGUCGUCAGCUCGUGUCGUGAGAUGUUGGGUUAAGUCCCGCAACGAGCGCAACCCUUAUGGUCAGUUACUACGCAAGAGGACUCUGGCCAGACUGCCGUUGACAAAACGGAGGAAGGUGGGGAUGACGUCAAAUCAUCAUGCCCUUUAUGACUUGGGCUACACACGUACUACAAUGGCGUUAAACAAAGAGAAGCAAGACCGCGAGGUGGAGCAAAACUCAGAAACAACGUCCCAGUUCGGACUGCAGGCUGCAACUCGCCUGCACGAAGUCGGAAUUGCUAGUAAUCGUGGAUCAGCAUGCCACGGUGAAUACGUUCCCGGGCCUUGUACACACCGCCCGUCACACCAUGAGAGCCGGGGGGACCCGAAGUCGGUAGUCUAACCGCAAGGAGGACGCCGCCGAAGGUAAAACUGGUGAUUGGGGUGAAGUCGUAACAAGGUAGCCGUAGGAGAACCUGCGGCUG